rnacentral:rRNA from 1 species
AUGAACGCUGGCGGCGCGCCUAAUACAUGCAAGUCGAGCGAGAAGACGUAGCAAUACGUUUGUAAAGCGGCGAACGGGUGAGGAAUACAUGGGUAACCUACCCUCGAGUGGGGAAUAACUAGCCGAAAGGUUAGCUAAUACCGCGUACGCUUCUUGGACUUCGGUUCAGGGAGGAAAGCGAUACCGUGGGUAUCGCGCUCUUGGAUGGGCUCAUGUCCUAUCAGCUUGUUGGUGAGGUAACGGCUCACCAAGGCUUCGACGGGUAGCUGGUCUGAGAGGACGAUCAGCCACACUGGCACUGCGACACGGGCCAGACUCCUACGGGAGGCAGCAGUAAGGAAUAUUGCGCAAUGGGCGAAAGCCUGACGCAGCGACGCCGCGUGGGGGA